AGAGUUUGAUCCUGGCUCAGGACGAACGCUGGCGGCAGGCUUAACACAUGCAAGUCGAACGCUCUCUUCGGAGAGAGUGGCAGACGGGUGAGUAACGCGUGGGAAUCUACCCAGUACUACGGAACAACACAGAGAAAUUUGUGCUAAUACCGUAUACGCCCUCCGGGGGAAAGAUUUAUCGGUAUUGGAUGAGCCCGCGUUUGAUUAGCUAGUUGGUGAGGUAACGGCUCACCAAGGCGACGAUCAAUAGCUGGUCUGAGAGGACGAUCAGCCACACUGGGACUGAGACACGGCCCAGACUCCUACGGGAGGCAGCAGUGGGGAAUAUUGGACAAUGGGGGAAACCCUGAUCCAGCCAUGCCGCGUGUGUGAUGAAGGCCCUAGGGUUGUAAAGCACUUUCAACGGUGAAGAUAAUGACGGUAACCGUAGAAGAAGCUCCGGCUAACUUCGUGCCAGCAGCCGCGGUAAU
rnacentral:rRNA from 1 species